AACGUAGGUGGCAAGCGUUAUCCGGAUUCACUGGGCGUAAAGCGCAUGCAGGUGGCACAGUAAGUAGGGCGUGAAAACUCCUGGCUUAACUGGGAGAGGCUGUCCUAGACUGCUGAGCUUGAGGAUGGGAGAGGGAAGUGGAAUUGCCGGUGUAGUGGUGAAAUGCGUAGAGAUCGGCAGGAACACCCGUGGCGAAAGCGGCUUCCUGGCCCAUUCCUGACACUCAGAUGCGAAAGCUAGGGGAGCGAACGGG
rnacentral:rRNA from 1 species